rnacentral:lncRNA from 1 species
AGUGAGAGCCUAAUUUAUUUAAAAAUAAAAUUUCUAAACAAAUUGGUUAAGUCUGAUUACAAAAUCUAACUAGAAACUUUUGACUCUCUACAGAAAACAUGUCUGUGUCCAACCCCCUGACCAAAAUACUAGACACCCACAGAUUGACUGGAUCCAAUUUCAAAGACUGGUUGAGGAACUACAGAAUUAUUCUGGGUUUCGAGAAACUAACUCAUGUCUUGGACCAGAACCCACCUGCAAUGCC